UACGUAGGGGGCAAGCGUUAUCCGGAUUUACUGGGUGUAAAGGGAGCGCAGGCGGCGUGGCAAGUCAGAUGUGAAAACCCGGGGCCCAACCCCGGGAGUGCAUUUGAAACUGCCAUGCUGGAGUGCCGGAGAGGUAAGCGGAAUUCCUAGUGUAGCGGUGAAAUGCGUAGAUAUUAGGAGGAACACCAGUGGCGAAGGCGGUCUGCUGGACAGCAACUGACGGUGAGGCGCGAAAGCGUGGGGAGCAAACAGG
rnacentral:rRNA from 1 species